rnacentral:lncRNA from 1 species
ACAUCCUUGGUGGGACGGAGCAGGAAGGCUGGAGAUUUCAUCAAGCUACUCACAGCAGCAUGCCAUUUAAAAUUCAUGAAUUAUUUAUUUCUGGAAUUUUCCGUUUAAUAUUUUUGGACCACAAUUGACCUCAGAUUUUACUUUCUACUCUUGUCAGUCAUAUCUGCAAGGCUGACAGUUACCAGGGGCUGUGGCCAGGCAUGAGGGAGAAUGUGUCAUUGCUGGCUGCGUUGGUCAUAGCAACGUGUCUGCCUCAGAACAGAUCCAGCAUGGAUGAGCAAACAGAAAAAUGUGUAAGAAGGCUUGUGACUGAAACAGACCAAGGAUAUGUAUUCUGCAAUCAUGACCAAACAGAAGGACUAAAUCUGGAUCAGAAUCUGAAAUGUAAAAAGGCUACUUGUCAACCACGCCAUUGUUUUCCGUUGGAGCUAGCAGAGCAGCCUCGGCUGCACAUUCCUGGGACGUGAAUAAUAUCGGUUGUGAUUACACUUCAGUAUCUCAUCCAUUACCAGCCCUGUGAACACUGAAUAUAACCUAAUUAGGAAAUGCGAAGGGCCCUUUGCUAGGGAUGAGUGCUGGGGCAGCAGAGGUCCACAUGCCUUCCCGACACAGGGAUUCACCG